GGACACAUUUCAUGAAGGACACGGGGAAUUUGAAGAUGAUUGUUACGCAUUUUCUAUAGCCUGAGUUUUGGAUAGUGCCUGUCUAUUCGAAGACUGCUUCAUAAGGUAUCAUACGUGCUGGCUGCAAGGAUCAUCGAAGGAGGAGGAGCAGAUGAGGUACAGGAAGUAGAUCGAGGAAGAUGUGUGUAGCUGAAGUUUCAAUUAGUAACUGUGAAGAAGACCGAAGAGAGGCGAGCACAGGGAGACGACCAGAACAGAGAGAAAAGACUCACGAGUCCGAGUGAAAGGUGUUGUCCUUAUAGUUAUUUUUAGGCUAACUAUUUGGUUUGAAGACUGUCAUUCAAAACCUCUUUAGAAUCUCUAAAGCCUCUUCUGACCUUUAAACUAUAUGAGGCAUUUCAUCUUUAUAGCCUUGUAAUUUUCUUAAUUUGUUUUUGAUCUUUGUCUUUGUUAAAAGAGUACUGUUUUAAUCUUUGGGUCUCAAUUGACACAUAAUCGUUGGUAUCAACUCUGAACAAAACCAAUUGGUUCUUUCACAAAAAGGUAUAAUAAAAGAUGGGGUGCCACAAGGUUCUGUCUUUGGAUCCUAUCUUUUUAGAAUCUAAUCUACCAAUUCUAUUAGGUCUAUUAUCAAACAUAUACCAGCAGAGUUUGUCUUCUAUGUUGAUGACGCUACAAUUGUUAUUGCUGGCAAAAACUUGGAAGAGAUUACAAAGAAAGCUAUAACUGUCUUAACAAAAGUAGAAAACUUUUUCUCGUCUUAAGGAUUGGCUUUAAGCUUUUUAAUUCUACAAAUGAACCCACUCUAUCUCUCAAUGUUAACGAUAUUCCUAUCCAACAAGUAACUGUCACUAAAUUUUGGGGCAUUAAACUAAUCUUGAAACCGUAUAUCGAAUAACCAUAAGACUGAAAUAUCUAACAAGGUAAAAAAAAAAAAAGGUAUUUUCCUUCUAAAGCAAACGGCUUAAAGUCUUCACAAAAAUUCUAAUAUUUCUGUUUACUAAUUAAGCGUUUAUUCAAUCACAUUUAGCAUAUGGUAUUAUAAUCUAGGAAUCUGAUGAGAAGCAGAGAACAUACGUAUAUCUUAAUAAAUUGUUUACACUUCAAAGAAGAGCAAUUAGAAUGCUAAAUGGUAUCUUUAGAAAUUAUAAGAUCUUAACUUUGUCAUGUCUAUAAAUAUAUUUUGCCUCUGUCAAUGUUAGCUGGAAAUCUGAACCUGGCUGAUGUCUUUAACUUUCAAUAUUUUCUAUGUAUGACUGUCUUUUUCUUAUCUGUGAUGUACCCUGUAACGUGAACUAAUAUAGAUAAACAUAGUCUAAUGCAAGGGAUUCCUAAUUUACAGAAUAUCUAUGUACUUUAAUCUCAAAUCUUCAGUUCUACAUUACCAUGAUCGUUUUCAUACAUUAUCUGUAAAUUUGUAUGCAAGAGUGAAACUUGUUUCGAAUAGAGGUGUAGCUCCAGUAUCAUUGUUUCGGAUUGAUUUAAAUAAAAGAAAAAGUAUAAUUUGA